rnacentral:rRNA from 1 species
GACGAACGCUGGCGGCGUGCUUAACACAUGCAAGUCGAACGGAAAGGCCCUGCUUGCAGGGUACUCGAGUGGCGAACGGGUGAGUAACACGUGGGUGAUCUGCCCUGCACUUCGGGAUAAGCUUGGGAAACUGGGUCUAAUACCGGAUAGGAACCAUCUUUAGUGUGGUGGUUGGAAAGUUUUUUCGGUGUAGGAUGAGCUCGCGGCCUAUCAGCUUGUUGGUGGGGUAAUGGCCUACCAAGGCGGCGACGGGUAGCCGGCCUGAGAGGGUGUACGGCCACAUUGGGACUGAGAUACGGCCCAGACUCCUACGGGAGGCAGCAGUGGGGAAUAUUGCACAAUGGGCGCAAGCCUGAUGCUGCGACGCCGCGUGGGGGAUGAAGGCCUUCGGGUUGUAAACUCCUUUCGCUAGGGACGAAGCUUUUUGUGACGGUACCUAGAUAAGAAGCACCGGCUAACUACGUG